AGUGAACGCUGGCGGUAGGCCUAACACAUGCAAGUCGAACGGCAGCACAGUAAGAGCUUGCUCUUACGGGUGGCGAGUGGCGGACGGGUGAGGAAUACAUCGGAAUCUACUUUUUCGUGGGGGAUAACGUAGGGAAACUUACGCUAAUACCGCAUACGACCUACGGGUGAAAGCAGGGGAUCUUCGGGCCUUGCGCGAUUGAAUGAGCCGAUGUCGGAUUAGCUAGUUGGCGGGGUAAAGGCCCACCAAGGCGACGAUCCGUAGCUGGUCUGAGAGGAUGAUCAGCCACACUGGAACUGAGACACGGUCCAGACUCCUACGGGAGGCAGCAGUGGGGAAUAUUGGACAAUGGGAGCAAGCCUGAUCCAGCCAUACCGCGUGGGUGAAGAAGGCCUUCGGGUUGUAAAGCCCUUUUGUUGGGAAAGAAAAGCAGCAGGAUAAUACCCCGCUGUUCUGACGGUACCCAAAGAAUAAGCACCGGCUAACUUCGUG
rnacentral:rRNA from 1 species